UACGUAGGGUGCAGGCGUUAAUCGGAAUUACUGGGCGUAAAGCGUGCGCAGGCGGUUUCUUAAGUCAGAUGUGAAAGCCCCAGGCUUAACCUGGGAACUGCGUUUGAAACUGGGAGACUUGAGUGUGGCAGAGGGGGGUGGAAUUCCACGUGUAGCAGUGAAAUGCGUAGAUAUGCGGAGGAACACCGAUGGCGAAGGCAAUCCCCUGGGCCUGCACUGACGCUCAUGCACGAAAGCGUGGGGAGCAAACAGG
rnacentral:rRNA from 1 species